UACGUAGGUGGCAAGCGUUGUCCGGAGUUACUGGGCGUAAAGCGUGCGCAGACGGUUGCGUAAGUCAGAUGUGAAAGCCCCGGGCUCAACCUGGGAAUUGCAUUUGAGACUGCGUAGCUAGGGUGCGGAAGAGGGAAGCGGAAUUUCCGGUGUAGCGGUGAAAUGCGUAGAUAUCGGAAGGAACACCAGUGGCGAAAGCGGCUUCCUGGUCCAGCACCGACGUUCAGGCACGAAAGCGUGGGGAGCAAACAGGG
rnacentral:rRNA from 1 species